rnacentral:rRNA from 1 species
GGACUGAGACACAGCCCAGACUCCUACGGGAGGCAGCAGUGGGGAAUAUUGCGCAAUGGGCGAAAGCCUGACGCAGCGACGCCGCGUGGGGGAUUACGGCCUUCGGGUUGUAAACCUCUUUCAGCAGGGACGAAGUUGACGUGUACCUGCAGGAGAAGCGCCGGCUAACUACGUGCCAGCAGCCGCGGUAAUACGUAGGGCGCAAGCGUUGUCCGGAAUUAUUGGGCGUAAAGAGCUCGUAGGUGGCUUGUCACGUCGGGUGUGAAAGCUUGGGGCUUAACUCCAGGUCUGCAUUCGAUACGGGCUGGCUAGAGGUAGGUAGGGGAGAACGGAAUUCCUGGUGUAGCGGUGAAAUGCGCAGAUGUCAGGAGGAACACCGGUGGCGAAGGCGGUUCUCUGGGCCUUACCUGACGCUGAGGAGCGAAAGCGUGGGGAGCGAACAGGAUUAGAUACCCUGGUAGUCCACGCUGUAAACGUUGGGCGCUAGGUGUGGGGACCUUCCACGGUUUCCGCGCCGUAGCUAACGCAUUAAGCGCCCCGCCUGGGGAGUACGGCCGCAAGGCUAAAACUCAAAGGAAUUGACGGGGGCCCGCACAAGCGGCGGAGCAUGUUGCUUAAUUCGACGCAACGCGAAGAACCUUACCAAGGCUUGACAUUGCCCGGAAACACUCAGAGAUGGGUGCCUCUUCGGAUCGGGUGACAGGUGGUGCAUGGCUGUCGUCAGCUCGUGUCGUGAGAUGUUGGGUUAAGUCCCGCAACGAGCGCAACCCUUGUUCAAUGUUGCCAGCAACACCCUUUGGGGUGGUUGGGGACUCAUUGGAGACUGCCGGGGUCAACUCGGAGGAAGGUGGGGAUGACGUCAAGUCAUCAUGCCCCUUAUGUCUUGGGCUGCAAACAUGCUACAAUGGCCGGUACAGAGGGCUGCGAUACCGCAAGGUGGAGCGAAUCCCUAGAAGCCGGUCUCAGUUCGGAUUGGGGUCUGCAACUCGACCCCAUGAAGUCGGAGUCGCUAGUAAUCGCAGAUCAGCAACGCUGCGGUGAAUACGUUCCCGGGCCUUGUACACACCGCCCGUCACGUCACGAAAGUCGGCAACACCCGAAGCCCGUGGCCCAACCAGCUUGCUGGGGGGAGCGGUCGAAGGUGGGGCUGGCGAUUGGGACGAAGUCGGAACAAGGUAGCCGUACCGGAAGGUGCGGCUG